rnacentral:rRNA from 1 species
UACGAGAGGCCCAAACGUUGUUCGGAAUUACUGGGCGUAAAGCGUGCGCAGGCGGCUUCUCAAGUCAGGGGUGAAAGCCCAGAGCUCAACUCUGGAAUUGCCUUUGAGACUGAGUGGCUUGAGUACGAGAGAGGUGAGUGGAAUUCACAGUGUAGAGGUGAAAUUCGUAGAUAUUGGGAAGAACACCGGUGGCGAAGGCGGCUCACUGGCCCGUAACUGACGCUCAUGCACGACAGCGUGGGGAGCAAACAGG